AGAGGUGUAGGCAUGGGAA
rnacentral:miRNA from 1 species